ACAAAUUCUAUUCAGGGUUCAGACUUCAGAGACCCCUUGCGGGGAAAGUCGCAAACGCUGCGAACAUUUUUUGCAAUUGGAGCAAAGAGAAAGGAAAUUCCCAGUGAAGCCAACAUUUCAGUUUAACUCGUAGUACAGUAAAGUUCAAUAUUGGAUUGAAUGAUUUUUCUUUGAAAUUAUGUUUGUGAUUCUAAAAUUAAUUGUUUUAAAUCUUUUAAACCAACUUUCUUUGCAAAUAUGCUUACAGUAGUUAUGUAUGGCAAACGUUAUGAUUUUUAACUAAACGUAUGUUGGCAGCAUUGUUACCGUUCAGAUGAUAGAUCAAAACAAAACCAAGUUGAUCCAGCACUGGAUCUACAAAAUUUUUCGCCCACUUACAAAAUCAUCUGCGACUUUGUUUUAGUUUGCAAAAAUGAGUCAAGUAGGAAGAUUCCGUGAAUUUUUAAAUCGAAAUAUUGUGGCAAUCGUCUCAAUACCAACAAUCAUUCUACUGCAUUGGGGCUGGUUGAAACUGCAAGACGUCGAGGUGUUGAUCAGGCCAGAAGAAAAGAGGGGCCUUCCAAUUUUUGAGGGAGCAAAGCUGCUUGAAACCAAGAUUGAAGAAAAACUGGAUUCAUGGAAAAAAGCGAAAGAAGAUGCGCCAAAAUAGUUUUUAUGUGCAUACUCUUAACUGAGACUGAACAUUUUAGUUGAAAAAAUGUGGCAGGUUCAAAAUCAACAAGCCUGAAGGUUGCCAUCUCUAAAAUCGUGUUUCAUUGGCAACUGUUUGUUAUAUCAUGAUGUGCUGGCAAUGGUGUUAAUUGUUAAUUACUAGUGCAACCAAGUUAUAUUAAAAACUAACAAUAAUCUGA